GCCCAGGUGGCGGAAUUGGUAGACGCGCUGGAUUCAAAAUCCAGUUCUGGCAACAGAGUGCGGGUUCGAUUCCCGCCCCGGGUACUA
rnacentral:tRNA from 1 species